GGGCACCCCGCUGCCCGCCGCCUCCGCCGAGCCGAGCGGCGGUGGCUGCGGAAGCGACUGGGGCUGCGCGGACACCAGCGCCCCGGAGCCCGCGAGGAGCCUGGGGGCCCCGGGCUGGAGGAAGAGCCGAGCACCGGCGCAGCCUGCGGGACUGGCACUCACCGGGCCUCUCAACCCCCAGACCUUGCAACUGCAGUUGGAGCUGGAGGAGGAAGAGGAGGAAGCUGGGGAUCGAAAAGAGGGAGGGGAUGAACAGCAGGAGGCGCCCCCCGGGGAGGAGCUGGAGCCCAGGACCCGCGCGGGGGCCGCCGACGGACUGGUCCUGGACGUGCUGGGUCAGCGGCGCCCGCCCCUCUCCCAGAGACAAGUCUUUUGCUCCGUCUACUGCGUGGAGAGCGACCUGCCCGAGGCCCCCGCCUCGGAGCAGCUCUCGCCGCCCGCGUCGCCACCUGGGGCUCCGCCAGUGCUGAAUCCUCCCAGCACCCGCUCUUCCUUCCCCAGCCCCCGACUGUCCCUCCCAACGGAUUCCCUCUCCCCCGACGGCGGCAGCAUCGAGCUGGAGUUCUACCUGGCGCCUGAGCCGUUCUCCAUGCCCAGCCUGUUGGGAGCUCCACCCUACUCUGGCCUGGGCGGUGUAGGGGAUCCCUAUGCGCCCCUCAUGGUGCUGAUGUGCCGGGUGUGCCUGGAAGACAAGCCCAUCAAGCCCCUGCCUUGCUGCAAGAAGGCCGUGUGCGAGGAGUGCCUCAAAGUCUACCUGAGCGCCCAGAUUAAAGUUGCUGUUUGCCUCUUAGCUUAGUCAGCUUUGUGGAGAAGAGCACAGUAACCCUGGGCGAGGGACUCCAGGUGCUGUGAAGGCGUCCCGCCUGUCUCAGGGGGCCAAGUGCUGGUCUCCGUGCCGCUUUUCCCAUGCAGUGCUGCUGGGGUGAGUUCCCUGUGCCAAACUUCCCACCUUCAGCAGAACUUAGAGCUGUUCAUGAGAAUGA
rnacentral:lncRNA from 1 species